rnacentral:rRNA from 1 species
UACGGAGGGUGCAAGCGUUAUCCGGAUUCACUGGGUUUAAAGGGUGCGUAGGCGGACAGGUAAGUCAGUGGUGAAAUCUCUGGGCUUAACUCAGAACUGCCGUUGAUACUAUUUGUCUGAAUAUUCUGGAGGUAAGCGGAAUAUGUCAUGUAGCGGUGAAAUGCUUAGAUAUGACAUAGAACACCGAUAGCGAAGGCAGCUUACUACAGAA